GAUGAACGCUGGCGGCGUGCCUAAUACAUGCAAGUCGAGCGAACGGACGAGAAGCUUGCUUCUCUGAUGUUAGCGGCGGACGGGUGAGUAACACGUGGAUCACCUACCUAUAAGACUGGGAUAACUUCGGGAAACCGGAGCUAAUACCGGAUAAUAUUUUGAACCGCAUGGUUCAAAAGUGAAUGACGGUCUUGCUGUCACUUAUAGAUGGAUCCGCGCUGCAUUAGCUAGUUGGUAAGGUAACGGCUUACCAAGGCAACGAUGCAUAGCCGACCUGAGAGGGUGAUCGGCCACACUGGAACUGAGACACGGUCCAGACUCCUACGGGAGGCAGCAGUAGGGAAUCUUCCGCAAUGGGCGAAAGCCUGACGGAGCAACGCCGCGUGAGUGAUGAAGGUCUUCGGAUCGUAAAACUCUGUUAUUAGGGAAGAACAUAUGUGUAAGUAACUGUGCACAUCUUGACGGUACCUAAUCAGAAAGCCACGGCUAACUACGUG
rnacentral:rRNA from 1 species